rnacentral:rRNA from 1 species
UACGUAGGUGGCGAGCGUUGUCCGGAAUGACUGGGCGUAAAGCGCGCGCAGGCGGCCGCCUAAGUCUGGGGUGAAAUCCCGGGGCUCAACCUUGGGCAUGCCUGAGAUACUGGGUGGCUUGAGCAUCGGAGAGGCAAGGGGAAUUCCAUGUGUAGCGGUGAAAUGCGUAGAGAUAUGGAGGAACACCAGUGGCGAAGGCGCCUUGCUGGCCGGUCGCUGACGCUGAGGCGCGAAAGCGUGGGGAGCAAACAGG